ACACUUCUGAGGAGUCUACAAUAAGACGAAACGGCCGUCCAGUGC
rnacentral:hammerhead_ribozyme from 1 species